GACGAACGCUGGCGGCGUGCUUAACACAUGCAAGUCGAACGGAAAGGCUCCAGCUUGCUGGAGUACUCGAGUGGCGAACGGGUGAGUAACACGUGGGUGAUCUGCCCUGCACUUCGGGAUAAGCCUGGGAAACUGGGUCUAAUACCGGAUAGGACCGCACUUUGGUGUGUGUGGUGAAAGGUUUUUCUGGUGUGGGAUGAGCUCGCGGCCUAUCAGUUUGUUGGUGGGGUAAUGGCCUACCAAGACGGCGACGGGUAGCCGGCCUGAGAGGGUGGACGGUCACAUUGGGACUGAGAUACGGCCCAGACUCCUACGGGAGGCAGCAGUGGGGAAUAUUGCACAAUGGGGGAAACCCUGAUGCAGCGACGCCGCGUGGGGGAUGAAGGCCUUCGGGUUGUAAACUCCUUUCGCUAGGGACGAAGCUUUUUGUGACGGUACCUGGAGAAGAAGCACCGGCUAACUACGUG
rnacentral:rRNA from 1 species